AAAUAACAAAACGAUGUCGUUCAUCCUAAACGGAAAUCUUUCAGCGUCAUUUAGAAACCCAUUUCUUUCCUCCUAUUUUAUUUCUCUCAAUCAACGUUCCCUCCUCCUUAGCCAUCUUAGCCAACCAUAUGAAGAUUUGAAUUUUCUUGUUGGUUGUUAAAUAAGAAACACACCUGCUGCUGCGGUAGUUUGAAACCUCCCUGCUGCGCUGCUGCUGGUUGAUGAGCUUAGGUGGUUUGGGUUUGAAGUGUUGCUAAAAUAAAAAGGUGCAGUAUGUGUUUGUUAAAAUGUCUGUGAGAAAAUUUAAUCAGUUAUCUUGGCUCCGUGGAGUGUCAUUUGUGAUGAAACAAGUAUCCAACUAUUACUAUUUUGGAAUGAAAAUUUACUUUCGUCCUUAAAUAGUGACUUUUUAGGGACAGGACA